rnacentral:tRNA from 1 species
GGUCUGGUGGUCUAGUGGUAUGAUUCGCGCUUAGGGAUCACCCUUAGCUUGGUUGCGCGAGGUCCCGGGUUCAAUCCCCGGCCAGACCC